AUUGAACGCUGGCGGCAGGCCUAACACAUGCAAGUCGAACGGUAACAGGAAGAAGCUUGCUUCUUUGCUGACGAGUGGCGGACGGGUGAGUAAUGUCUGGGAAACUGCCUGAUGGAGGGGGAUAACUACUGGAAACGGUAGCUAAUACCGCAUAACGUCGCAAGACCAAAGAGGGGGACCUUCAGGCCUCUUGCCAUCGGAUGUGCCCAGAUGGGAUUAGCUAGUAGGUGGGGUAACGGCUCACCUAGGCGACGAGCCCUAGCUGGUCUGAGAGGAUGACACGCCACACUGGAACUGAGCCACGGUCCAGACUCCUACGGGCGGCAGCAGUGGGGAAUAUUGCACAAUGGGCGCAAGCCUGAUGCAGCCAUGCCGCGUGUAUGAAGAAGGCCUUCGGGUUGUAAAGUACUUUCAGCGGGGAGGAAGGGAGUAAAGUUAAUACCUUGGCUCAUUGACGUUACCCGCAGAAGAAGCACCGGCUAACUCCGUG
rnacentral:rRNA from 1 species